AGUUGUGGCUCAGUGGAAGAGCACUUGCCUAGCAUGUGUGAGGUACUGGGUUCGAUUCUCAGCACACUA
rnacentral:tRNA from 1 species